rnacentral:sRNA from 1 species
GCCGCGCCUAGCCCGAGGGGGCGAAAAGCCGGACAUCCUGCCGGCUUGGCGCGGCCUUCUACAAGGG